rnacentral:lncRNA from 1 species
AUGUGCAACUCUUCUUGUCUUCUGUAUUGUGGUUUCUUGAUCACAAACUUUGGGUCUUUCAUUCAGGACCUUCUGAAGCUGGAAAGACUCCAAGCAGAGCUUACUGAGCGUUGUGGCCAUCAGCCAACCCUUGCACAGUGGGCUUCUGCUGCUGGAAUCGAUAAAAAAACUUUAAGGAAACGUAUAACUCACGGCACGCAAUGCAAGGACAGAAUGAUUAAAAGCAACAUUCGUCUCGUCAUUUCGAUUGCAAAGAACUACCAAGGAGCUGGAAUGGACUUCCAAGACCUUGUCCAGGUUCGAGUUUUUUUCACUCCUUUUAUCUGUUGUGUAAUAUAAUUACAUCUGUUAACAGUACUGAUGAAAGUGAACAUUAUGGUCACAGGAAGGAUGCAGAGGGCUUGUGAGGGGAGCAGAGAAGUUUGAUGCUACAAAGGGAUUUAAAUUUUCAACUUAUGCACAUUGGUGGAUCAAGCAAGCUACGUUGUCUUCUGUAUUGUGGUUUCUUGAUCACAAACUUUGGGUCUUUCAUUCAGGACCUUCUGAAGCUGGAAAGACUCCAAGCAGAGCUUACUGAGCGUUGUGGCCAUCAGCCAACCCUUGCACAGUGGGCUUCUGCUGCUGGAAUCGAUAAAAAAACUUUAAGGAAACGUAUAACUCACGGCACGCAAUGCAAGGACAGAAUGAUUAAAAGCAACAUUCGUCUCGUCAUUUCGAUUGCAAAGAACUACCAAGGAGCUGGAAUGGACUUCCAAGACC